rnacentral:rRNA from 1 species
AGCGAACGCUGGCGGCAGGCCUAAUACAUGCAAGUCGAACGCCCCUUCGGGGGAGUGGCGGACGGGUGAGUAACGCGUGGGAACGUGCCCUUUGGUACGGAACAACUGAGGGAAACUUCAGCUAAUACCGUAUGUGCCCUUCGGGGGAAAGAUUUAUCGCCAUUGGAGCGGCCCGCGUUGGAUUAGCUAGUUGGUGGGGUAAAGGCCCACCAAGGCGACGAUCCAUAGCUGGUCUGAGAGGAUGACAAGCCACACUGGGACUGAGACACGGCCCAGACUCCUACGGGAGGCAGCAGUAGGGAAUCUUGGGCAAUGGGCGAAAGCCUGACCCAGCCAUGCCGCGUGAAUGAUGAAGGUCUUAGGAUUGUAAAAUUCUUUCACCGGGGACGAUAAUGACGGUACCCGGAGAAGAAGCCCCGGCUAACUUCGUGCCAGCCGCCGCAGUAA